rnacentral:lncRNA from 1 species
CUCUGCCUCACAUCUGGGCAGCAGGACCCGCCGGGAGCACGGCCAGCGGAGGCGCGGACAUCGAAAGUUGAUUUGGAGAACCCGCCCGAAACCAAGGACUUAGUUUCAGAAUCUAGAUCCCAAAUUGUGAGAUGUGAGGCGCGAGUUUUCUUUGUUCAAGCCGCGCGAACGUCUCCGGGAGGAUGUACGGGGUGUGGAUAGUCUUCAUCUUCAUCGAGGAGGGAUUUGCCAGUGCGCAGAAAACUAAAGAUGUCACGGCUGUUUCCAAAGCGGUCCAGCCGUCGCAAGCCCCGCGGAACGCUCGCCACUGCGGGACCUGGGUGCGCAACGAAGAGGGA